rnacentral:lncRNA from 1 species
AUGUUUCCGGUUGCUAUCACCAAAAAAAUUCAAAACAUCAACAAGAAAAACAGAAGCAAAAUUUCAGUAGCUUCAUUCCGUGUCAGUGCUUUGUGCAUCUCCUUUGUCCUAGGGCGCUGUGCAUGUUUAACCCAAGCAGGUUACCUGAAAUUCCAGUUCUCAGUUCUACAAACCCAAACCCCACCAAAACUACCAGACUUUAAGACAAUCCACGCUUUUCACCUUCUUGAUAGAAAUGUAUUUCUCUGCGAAAUGGGAUCAGCAGCCCCAAGCUCCAUCAGCAGAAACACGACACAGCCAUGGACCAUGAACCCCAUCUCUGCUCCUGGUUAAGUAUAAUCCCAAGUAAAUGUAUUCACCCGCUUUCCUAUCUGCACCACGACUAAAGAUGACUCCUGUGGGAAGCUCAGCAGCUGAAGGACCAGGUGCUCGCUGCUCGGAUAAUUAUUUUGUAGCUGUCACAACUGGCUGUUAACACUUCUCUCCUGGCCUUCCAGCCCUGUGUACAGUUGACUGCACUAUUUUAUUCUCUUAGAUGUAAUUUUUUUCUUACCUUUUUUUUUUUUUCAGUUGAUUCCUGGUAUACUGUUCUCCAUGGUGGGAAAUACCACUUCUUGGAGGGCUGUAUAUACAAUGCUCUUUUAAGAUUCAGAAAGCCUUCCCUGAUGGCCACAUGGUAUUUGAAGAUUGUAUGAAAAUACAUAUGAGAUGAAAACCGGCAUGCAUCUUUUUCACAUUCGUUUUACCUCAAGGUCGGGGAAAUUUUGCAGGAGAUUCUCUUCUGGAAAAUCUUUUCAUCAGUUCACUUGUCUAAGUGAGGGACCUGAAACAUUUGGCCCGAAAACUUCCAACAUUAUUCUCUGUGCAAUCAGUAGCACUGUUAAUAGCAAGGCAAUCACUUGUGUAUUUAAUAUUGUUCUCAGGGUUAAUUCUUUUGCCAGGUAGCAGACUAAAUGACAUGGUAGUUAUUAGCCAGCUCUGAAAGUGAGUUACGGGCAUGGAAAAAAAAAAAAAAAAAAAAAGAUGUAAAAAGAAUAUUUAGAAAGCUAAUGAUUCUGAACAAAAUUAAUACCAGCCAACCCACAAAAUAUAGAAUAUUUGCUUUGCUCUUUUAUCAGCAUUUUCCACAUAGAUUUGCAUGAAUGAGUCAAACUGACAGUCACAACUGGUAAGCAGAAAAGAGGUCAUCAACUUCUGAUAGAUCCUCUUGUAAUCAACAGGUUUGGGGGUAUGUUUUUUUUUUUUUUUUUUUAUGAACAUGAGGAAAUAUUGGCUCCAUUCACUUUUCUAUAUAACUCAGGCUUCAUUCAGUUUGAUACCUUAAAAAGGUUUAGCAAAUUCAACACUCAGGCAGUGAGGGCUUCUGCAAUGCCCCAACAUAAUGUCAUUAAGUGCUCAACAAUGACUUUAAAUAAGUAGCUUUUGGAAGUUAUAUGUCUUUGAAGUUUCAUUAAUUAGUCAUAUCAUCGGGAAUGUAUGGCUAAAGUAAAUUACAGUGUUUAAAAUAUCUACUCUUUCAAUGUGAAAAAUGAAAGGAUCCAGCUACCUUGUCUUUAUACUAAUGAAGAUAUUAUUAAUUGGUUUAGCAAAAACAUAGAUCUAACCAUAAUGUGCAACAGUUAUUAAAGAUAAUUAACUACAGAUCAUUGGUUUGAAACAUCUAGUCCAAAAUGAUUUCUGAAGGGCACAUUAUUCUAUGAGAUAAAAUAAUUAAAUUUCUAACAGCUGCAUAAGACAACUGUGGCAUAUCUAGUGUUUUAAUUUCUUUUGUUCUAUCCUCAUGGUACUCCUCUGUUUUAGGUUUCGAAAAUGCUACUAGUGCUUCACUGUGAGCAGUCUGUACAGCAUGUUAGACUGAAAUAUUUCAUGUCUGAGGAAAAAUGAUGAUUGAAAGAAAAGGAUUAAAACUGACAGCACAGCUAAUAAUACACACACGCACGUGUGCACGUGCACACACACAGUCAGCUACUUCUCUUCGAAGGAGAAAAGGAGGUGAUAGGAAUCAAACUAAGCAGAGGGUUAAAAAUGUUUCUAACAUUAGCUACAUAAGUCCUGCUCAAAGUAAAACAGCACAUUUGCAAAUUAAAGAAAACCUCGAAGAUGAAGCAAUGCCAAAUACUUGUAGAUUAAUUAAUAAAGGAAUCACAGCCACAUAAAAUUAAGCUAGU